AUUGAACGCUGGCGGAAUGCUUUACACAUGCAAGUCGAGCGGCAGCGCGGGGGCAACCUUGGCGGCGAGCGGCGAACGGGUGAGUAACAUAUCGGAACGUACCCCGUCGUGGGGGAUAACACAGCGAAAGCUGUGCUAAUACCGCAUACGACCUGAGGGUGAAAGCGGGGGACCGUAAGGCCUCGCGCGAUGGGAGCGGCCGAUAUCGGAUUAGCUUGUUGGUGAGGUAAAGGCUCACCAAGGCGACGAUCCGUAGCUGGUCUGAGAGGACGACCAGCCACACUGGAACUGAGACACGGUCCAGACUCCGACGGGAGGCAGCAGUGGGGAAUUUUGGACAAUGGGGGCAACCCUGAUCCAGCCAUUCCGCGUGAGUGAAGAAGGCCUUCGGGUUGUAGAGCUCUUUCGGCAGGAACGAAACGGUGGCCACUAAUACUGGCUACUGAUGACGGUACCUGAAGAAGAAGCACCGGCUAACUACGUGCCAGCAGCCGCCGUAA
rnacentral:rRNA from 1 species